GUUUGAUCCUGCCAGUAGUCAUAUGCUUGUCUCAAAGAUUAAGCCAUGCAAGUCUCAGUGUCAGCGUUUCCAUGGCAAAACUGCGAAUGGCUCAUUAAAACAGUUACAGUCUGUGCAGUGAUUAACCCCUACAUGGAUAACCGUGGAAAAUCUAGGGCUAAUACAUGCUUCGAACCUAACUUCGCAGAAAGGUUGCUGUCGUUAGACACAGAACCGACACAGGCUCUGCCUGGUGCGAAGGUGAAUCAUAACGGUCUGGUAAAUCGCAGGGCUUCUGCCGGCGAUGGACUGCUCAAGUUUCUGACCUAUCAGCUUCCGACGCUAGGGUAUUGGCCUACCGUGGCAAUGACGGGUGACGGAGAAUUAGGGUUUGAUUCCGGAGAGGGAGCCUAGACAAAUGGCUACCACAUCUAAGGAAGGCAGCAGGCGCGCAAAUUACCCAAUUCUGACACAGGGAGGUAGUGACAAGAAAUAACAAUAUGGGGCGUUUCGUCUUGUAAUUGGAAUGAACCAGUUCUAAACCAAUUUGUGAGUAUCAAUUGGAGGGCAAGUCUGGUGCCAGCAGCCGCGGUAAUUCCAGCUCCAAUAGCGUAUAUUAAAGCUGUUGCGGUUAAAAAGCUCGUAGUUGGAUCUCUGUUGAGGACGACCGGUCCGCCUUCUGGGUGUGCAUCUGGUUUGGCCUCGGCAUCUUGCUGGGGAACCGCCUCACAUUCCUGUGUUGUGGAACCCUGCGCUUUUACUUUGAGGAAAUUGGAGUGUUUCAAGCAGGCACAUGCCUUUGGACAUAUUAGCAUGGAAUAAUCAGGUAGAGUCUCUGCUCCAUUUUGUCGGUUUCUGGAGCUGAGGUGAGGAUUAGUAGGGAUUGUUGGGGGCAUCCGAAUUUAGCCGUCAGAGGUGAAAUUCUUGGAUUUGUUAAAGACGGACAACUGCGAAAGCAUUUGCCCAAGAUGUUUUCAUUGAUCAAGAACGAAAGUUAGGGGAUCGAAGACGAUCAGAUACCGUCCUAGUCUUAACCUUAAACCAUGCCGACUAGGAAUCGGUGGCCGUUAUUUUCACGACUUCAUCAGCACCUGAUGAGAAAUCAAAGUCUUUGGGUUCCGGGGGGAGUAUGGUCGCAAGGCUGAAACUUAAAGGAAUUGACGGAAGGGCACCACCAGGAGUGGAGCCUGCGGCUUAAUUUGACUCAACACGCGGAAACUUACCAGGUCCAGACAUAGGCAGGAUCGACAGAUUGAGAGCUCUUUCGUGAUUCUAUGGGUGGUGGUGCAUGGCCGUUCUUAGUUGGUGGAGUGAUUUGUCUGGUUAAUUCCGUUAACGAACGAGACCUUAUCCUGCUAAAUAGCUACACGUAGCUUCCGGCUUUGUGGGUAGCUUCUUAGAGGGACUUCGUGUGCCUAACGCGAGGAAGUUUGAGGCAAUAACAGGUCUGUGAUGCCCUUAGAUGUUCUGGGCUGCACGCGCGCUACACUGAUAUGCUCAGCGAGUUCUUUCUCUUGCUCGGAAGGGUCGGGUAACCUCCGGAAUACGUAUCGUGAUGGGGAUAGAUUAUUGUAAUUGUUAAUCUUCAACGAGGAAUUCCUAGUAAGUAUAAGUCAUCAGCUUGUGCUGAUUACGUCCCUGCCCUUUGUACACACCGCCCGUCGCUCCUACCGAUUGAGUGAUCCGGUGAAUAAUUCGGACUGCAGCAGUGUUCAGCUUCUGAACGCAGCCGUGGGAAGUUUCGUGAACCUUACCACUUAGAGGAAGGAGAAGUCGUAACAAGGUUUC
rnacentral:rRNA from 1 species